ACUCCUACGGGAGGCAGCAGUGGGGAAUAUUGGACAAUGGGGGAAACCCUGAUCCAGCCAUGCCGCGUGUGUGAAGAAGGCCUUCGGGUUGUAAAGCACUUUCAGUGGGGAGGAAAGGUUGCAGGUUAAUACCCUGUAGCUGUGACGUUACCCACAGAAGAAGCACCGGCUAACUCCGUGCCAGCAGCCGCGGUAAUACGGAGGGUGCAAGCGUUAAUCGGAAUUACUGGGCGUAAAGCGUGCGCAGGCGGUCUGUUAAGCGAGAUGUGAAAGCCCC
rnacentral:rRNA from 1 species